AAAAUAAUCCUACCCUUUGUGAAUUUUGUUUGUUUGAAUAAUUUUUUUUUUUUAAAAAAUUAUUGGAGUCUUUCCCUUUAGAGUUUGCUUUUGAGUUUGUAAAAGAAUUCGAAAACAUCUAAAGGGGAUGGUCAAUAAUUUUUUUUGAAAAAAGACAUUUUUUAAAACUAAACUUUUUGUAUUCAUUUGUCUAAAAAUUAUUUUUAUAAUAUAAAAACAACUUUUGACAAUGGAUCUCUUGGUUCUCGCAACGAUGAAGAACGCAGCAAAAUGCGAUAAGUAGUGUGAAUUGCAGAAUACGUGAAUCAUCGAAUCUUUGAACGCAUAUUGCACUUUUUUAGUUUACUAAAGAAGUAUGUCUGUUUGAGUAUCAGUAAAAUAUUCUCAUAAAAAUCAUUGUGUAUUUUUAUGGUUAUGAGUGUUUUACAACGAUACAAGUUGUUUCACUUUAAAUUUUUUUUAAUAUUGAAAUUUUUCUAAUUUUAAUAAUUAAAAUUGGAUAAAAUUUUCCCGUCAAAAGGAAUAACCUAAACAAUUUUAAAUGAUUAAUUUUAGCAAAAUUUUCGAAAAAGGAAAAUUUUAUUAAAAUAACUUGAUCUCAAAUCAGAUAAGAGUACCCGCUGAACUUAAGCAUAUCAAUAAGCGGAGGAAAAGAAACUAACAAGGAUUCCCUUAGUAACGGCGAGUGAAGCGGGAAGAGCUCAAAUUUGAAAUCUUCAAGGUUUUACCUUGACGAAUUGUAGUUUAAAGAAGUGUUUUCUGCUGAAGUUUUGGUAAAAGUUCUUUGGAAUAGGACAUCAUAGAGGGUGAGAAUCCCGUAUUUGACCAUUAUUUUCAGCUUUGUGAUACACUUUCAAAGAGUCGGAUUGUUUGGGAAUGCAGUCCAAAAUGGUGGUAAAUUUCAUCUAAAGCUAAAUAUUGGCGAGAGACCGAUAGCGAACAAGUACCGUGAGGGAAAGAUGAAAAGAACUUUGAAAAGAGAGUUAAACAGUACGUGAAAUUGUCAAAAGGGAAGCGUUUGACACCAGUGUUGUUUUCUCGAAAAUCAAUUAAAAAUGGCUCGAUUUUGUAUUGCUGAGACCUUAAAAGCUCACUGUACAUUUUUCGUGUCUUUUUAAUGCAUUUUCGUUUAACAAGUCAACAUCAGUUUCUUUUGUUGUAAAGGGUCAUUGGAAGGUGGCUUUCUUUUCGGAGAAAGUGUUUAUAGCUUUGGCCUCUGCAAUCGGAGAGACUGAGGUCUGCAGCGUAGACUCUUCGGGUUAGAUACAUUUGUGCUAAGUUAUAGCUUUUUAUAGACAACUUGUUGACUAUAAUUAGUCUUGUAGCUUACUCGCUUAUGCUAUUUUACCUACGCUUAGGAUG
rnacentral:misc_RNA from 1 species